rnacentral:rRNA from 1 species
GUCUUUUAAUUGGAGUCUGGAAUGAAUGGUUGGAUGAGGGGUGUUCUUUCUUUAUUUUAAGUGAAUGAAUUUGAUUUCUAUGUCAAAAAGCAUAGAUAUUUUUAUAGGACGAGAAGACCCUAUAGAACUUUAUUAUUACAGGUAUAGUCUUAUUUUAGUAUUUAUGAUAUAGUCCUAUAUUUUAUAUAAUUUUGUUGGGGUGAUGGAAAAAAAUUUAUAACUUUUUUUUAUUAAUACAUUUAUAUAUGUAAAUUUGAUCCUUUUUUAAGGAUAAGAAGAUUAAGUUACCUUAGGGAUAACAGCGUUAUUUUAUCAUAGAGUUCAUAUCGAUGAUAUAGUUUGCGACCUCGAUGUUGGAUUAAAAUAAGUGGCAGGUGCAGGGUCUUGCUUACUGGGUCUGUUCGACCCAUAAAUUUUUACA